AUGACGCCAACCGGAGCCACUGCCGCUCUCGUGCUAGCAGUACUCACCCUAGCACACCAUGGCUCACUCGCCGCCGCCGCCGGCGGCGGCCCCAGGGUCAUCAUCGUCGGCGCCGGCAUGUCUGGGAUCUCGGCCGGGAAGCGGCUGUCGGAGGCUGGGAUAACGGACCUGGUGAUCCUGGAGGCGACGGACCACGUCGGCGGGAGGAUGCACAAGCGAGACCUCAGCGGCAUCAAGGUGGAGAUGGGCGUCAACGGCGGCAAAAUGAACCCCAUCUGGCCCAUCGUCAACUCCACGCUCAAGCUCACCAACUUCCGCUCCGACUUCGACGACCUCGCCAGCAACGUCUACAAGGAGAAGGGAGGUGUCUACAAGAAAGCGUACGUGCAAAAGAGAAUUGACCGGUCAGACGAGGUGGAAGAGGAUGGUGACAAACUGUCCGCCAAACUGCAUCCCAGCGGCCAGGACGACAUGUCAAUCCUCGCCAUGCAACGCCUCAACGACCACCUUCCCAACGGGCCGUCCUCGCCAGUGGACAUGAUCCUGGACUACUUCAAGUACGACUACGAGUUCGCAGAGCCGCCGCGCGUGACCAGCCUCCAGAACACCGUCCCUCUCGCCACCUUCAGCGACUUCGGCGACGACGUCUACUUCGUCGCCGACCAGCGUGGCUACGAGGCCGUCGUGUACUACCUUGCCGGACAAUACCUCAAGGCCGACAAGGCCGGCAACAUCGUCGAUCCUCGCCUGCAGCUCAACAAGGUGGUGCGAGAGAUCUCCUACUCCACGAGAGGCGUCGAAGUGAAGACUGAGGACAACAAGGUGUACAAGGCGGACUAUGUCAUGGUUUCAACCAGCUUGGGGGUCCUGCAAUCAGAUCUCAUACAGUUUAAGCCACAACUUCCUACAUGGAAGGUUCUGUCGAUCUACCAAUUCGACAUGGCCGUCUACACCAAAAUCUUGUCAAGUUCCCCAAGAAGUUCUGGCCGGAAGGUAAAGUCCCAAUGGAAUUGUUACGUUAUUCAGGAGUUUGAGGCGCAGUACCCAGACGCCAAUGUCCUCUUGGUCACCGUCACGGACGAGGAGUCGAGGCGGAUCGAGCAACAGUCAGACAACCAGACCAAGGUAGAGAUCAUGGAGGUGCUGAGGAGCAUGUUCCCCGGUGAGGAUGUCCCCGACGCGACGGACAUCCUCGUGCCACGAUGGUGGUCCAACAGGUUUUACAAGGGUACCUUCUCCAACUGGCCCAUCGGCGUCAACCGCUACGAAUACGACCAGCUCAGGGCACCAGUCGGCAGGGUUUACUUCACCGGGGAGCACACCAGCGAGCACUACAAUGGCUAUGUCCAUGGAGCUUAUCUUUCAGGUAUUGAUUCGGCGGACAUUCUGAUCAACUGUGCUCAGAAGAGUAUGUGCAAAUACCACGUCCAGGGCAAGUAUGACUAA
rnacentral:rRNA from 1 species